ACGGGUGAGUAAUGCCUAGGAAAUUGCCUUGAUGUGGGGGAUAACCAUUGGAAACGAUGGCUAAUACCGCAUAAUGCCUACGGGCCAAAGAGGGGGACCUUCGGGCCUCUCGCGUCNAGAUAUGCCUAGGUGGGAUUAGCUAGUUGGUGAGGUAAUGGCUCACCNNGGCGACGAUCCCUAGCUGGUCUGAGAGGAUGAUCAGCCACACUGGAACUGAGACACGGUCCAGACUCCUACGGGAGGCAGCAGUGGGGAAUAUUGCACAAUGGGCGAAAGCCUGAUGCAGCCAUGCCGCGUGUAUGAAGAAGGCCUUCGGGUUGUAAAGUACUUUCAGUUGUGAGGAAGGGGGUGUCGUUAAUANCGGNNUCUCUUGACGUUAGCNNNNGAAGAAGCNNCGGCUAACUCCGUGCCAGCAGCCGCGGUAAUACGGAGGGUGCGAGCGUUAAUCGGAAUUACUGGGCGUAAAGCGCAUGCAGGUGGUUCAUUAAGUCAGAUGUGAAAGCCCGGGGCUCAACCUCGGAACUGCAUUUGAAACUGNUGAACUAGAGUACUGUAGAGGGGGGUAGAAUUUCAGGUGUAGCGNUGAAAUGCGUAGAGAUCUGAAGGAAUACCAGNGNCNNAGGCGGCCCCCUGNNNAGAUACUGACACUCAGAUGCGAAAGCGUGGGGAGCAAACAGGAUUAGAUACCCU
rnacentral:rRNA from 1 species